rnacentral:lncRNA from 1 species
GCCUUAGGGAUUACUGUCGGGUUCGGGACUUGGUGUGGGAGGAAGAAGGGUGGGGAAGUCGGGAGGGAUUUGUCGAAAGGGGGCUUGGGGGGCAAUUCUGGUGUCGCUUCUGAGAAAUGCGUGGGGUUGUUUUCCCAAACGUCCGAGUUGCUCUGCUCUUCGUCACUGGAGGGCCGAGCGAAGAAAAGUGGGGGGAAAGUUCCCUUAACUUCCUUCCUGCAACCUCACCGAGGGCUGCGAAGAGGAAGAGCGCGUUUCCCCGGGAAGCACCGGGCAGGGCUGGGGGGGCGGCUGCGCCCAGCCUGUGGGACUGCGGGACGCGGGGCGGAGCAGCGGCCCCCACGCAGGCCGCGGGCGCCCCCCCUGCACCCCUCCUCUCGCAAACGGCGCCUGGAGAGGCCCGGCUGCAGCGCCGGCUCUCUUAAGCCCCGCGGCAAGCCGGCGGCAGCAGGGGCGCAGCCUGGGGUGCCGGGCUCGGCCGCCGAGCGCCCCCCUCCGCCGUGCAAGGCCGCCCGCGCCCCCGCGCCCCGCGCCCCGCGCGGCUGGCCCAACCCGGCCCCCCACGACCCCGCCCGCGGGUCCAGGCCGCGGGCCCCCGCGUUUCCGAGCCCCCACGCCCGCGCCUCCGCGGCAGAGGGGGCGCCCAGCCCGCGGCUCACCUGCGCGUUGGAUCCCGGGGCCGCCGGGAGGGGCGCGGGGUGCGGGGCGCAGGCGAGCGCGGCCCGCAGACUCAAACUUUGUUGCUCUCGGGACGGCGCAGUCGUCACUUCCUCGCGGAGCGGGCGGCGCGGCCCGGCGUGUGACCCAGCAGCUCGCGCGGUGGCGCGCCGGGCCCUGCAGCGGCCCGCCCGCGCCCCGGCUCUGCGCGCCCCGGGGGGGCCCGGCGCCGACUCCGGCUCGGCGCGCGCGGGGCUGCGGGGGGCCGCGGGGGGCCGCGGGGGGCGCCCACCGAGCCUGCACCCUGCGGGGUCCUUACGGCGCGGGAGAAAUGCGACCGAACCUGUAUUCUCAAGGUUGGGGUUCAGCCGCCCCCCCCCGCGAGCUGGGGUUCCAGGGGGAAACACCCCCACCCCACAGACAAAAAGGUGGGGGUGGAGGAAGAGAAAGUUUUCCAGUUUCGCGUUGAAGGUCAUGUCAGAAAGCGAAGUGCCCUGUACUUGGCCAAAUAAAGCCUAG